rfam:Camelus ferus unplaced genomic scaffold scaffold968, whole genome shotgun sequence.
GAGGGUAUAGCUCAGUGGUAGAGUGCAUGCUUGGUAGGCACGAGGUCCUGGGUUCAAUUCCCAGUACCUCCA